rnacentral:rRNA from 1 species
UACGUAGGGUCCGAGCGUUGUCCGGAAUUACUGGGCGUAAAGAGCUCGUAGGUGGUUUGUCGCGUUGUUCGUGAAAACUCACAGCUUAACUGUGGGCGUGCGGGCGAUACGGGCAGACUUGAGUACUGCAGGGGAGACUGGAAUUCCUGGUGUAGCGGUGAAAUGCGCAGAUAUCAGGAGGAACACCGGUGGCGAAGGCGGGUCUCUGGGCCGAUACUGACGCUGAGGAGCGAAAGCGUGGGGGAGCGAACAGG